UGAGCCCCGCAUCCAGCCCAGGGUGAGGCGUGAACCACGGAUGCACUACGAAAAUAAGCCUCCGGUGAUUCGCUCCAUUUUACAGCCAGUUUCGGAAGCCAGAGACCUGAUAGACUGUUUCUGCAGACUUCCGGGAAGCAGUGCGCCUCCUUGCGCUUGGGCUGUCGAGACUGGAGAGGACCUACUGAACACGGGACCGAAGAGAGGCAAAGCCCAGAGAGGAGAAGGAGGACACGGAGCUGAGCUCUCUGGAUCCCAGCGCCCUUGAACUUUUCAGUGGGAUCGCCCCCCCCCCCCCCACGACCGCCGAGAACAAUUCAGGCCCUGGCCAAGCAGCCAAACCCGUGUCAUCCCCGGAGCUGAUCUGGAAGCCAGAACCCCCAUUCAAGGUGGGUCUCCACUGGGCGCCGGAGGGUGUGCCUGCUUGGGUUUUCUGGAAGGAGAAAGAGUCCUUCCCCAGACGCCGCC